AACUAACGCUGGCGGCGCGUCUUAAACAUGCAAGUCGAACGGAUGUAGCAAUACAUUAGUGGCGAACGGGUGAGUAAUACAUCGGAACGUGCCCAAUCGUGGGGGAUAACGUAGCGAAAGUUACGCUAAUACCGCAUACGAUCUACGGAUGAAAGCGGGGGAUCGCAAGACCUCGCGCGAAUGGAGCGGCCGAUAUCAGAUUAGGUAGUUGGUGGGGGUAAAGGCUCACCAAGCCAACGAUCUGUAGCUGGUCUGAGAGGACGACCAGCCACACUGGAACUGAGACACGGUCCAGACUCCUACGGGAGGCAGCAGUGGGGAAUUUUGGACAAUGGGCGCAAGCCUGAUCCAGCCAUUCCGCGUGCAGGAUGAAGGCCUUCGGGUUGUAAACUGCUUUGUACGGACGAAACGGUCUGCCCUAAUACGGCAGGCUAAUGACGGUACCGUAAGAAUAAGCACCGGCUAACU
rnacentral:rRNA from 1 species